UACGGAGGGAGCUAGCGUUGUUCGGAAUUACUGGGCGUAAAGCGCACGUAGGCGGCUUUGUAAGUUAGAGGUGAAAGCCCGGGGCUCAACCCCGGAAUAGCCUUUAAGACUGCAUCGCUUGAAUCCGGGAGAGGUGAGUGGAAUUCCGAGUGUAGAGGUGAAAUUCGUAGAUAUUCGGAAGAACACCAGUGGCGAAGGCGGCUCACUGGCCCGAUACUGACGCUGAGGCACGAAAGCGUGGGGAGCAAACAGG
rnacentral:rRNA from 1 species